rnacentral:rRNA from 1 species
UACGUAGGGGGCAAGCGUUGUCCGGAUUUAUUGGGCGUAAAGAGCGUGUAGGCGGCCAGGUAGGUCUGCUGUGAAAACUCGAGGCUUAACCUCGAGCUGUCGGCGGAAACCAUCUGGCUAGAGUCCGGAAGAGGAGAAUGGAAUUCCCGGUGUAGCGGUGAAAUGCGUAGAUAUUGGGAGGAACACCAGUGGCGAAGGCGGCUCACUGGACCGGAACUGACGCUGAGGCGCGAAAGCGUGGGGAGCAAACGGG